GAGAACGCUAACGGCAGGCUAUACAUGCCAGUCGAUUUAGAUUUAGACUAUCGGUUUACAUGAGAGUGGCGCACGGGUGCGUAACGCGUAUGCAACCUACCUUUAACAGGGGGAUAGCCCGGGGAAACUCGGAUUAAUACCCCAUGGUACAUUUGAAUGGCAUCAUUUAAAUGUUAAAGAUUUAUCGGUAUGAGAUGGGCAUGCGUAGGAUUAGCUAGUUGGUAAGGUAACGGCUUACCAAGGCUACGAUCCUUAGGGGUUCUGAGAGAGAAGUGUCCCCCACACUGGUACUGAGAUACGGACCAGACUCCUACGGGAGGCAGCAGUAGGGAAUAUUUGGGCAAUGGUCGGAAGACUGACCCAGCCAUGCCGCGUGCAGGAAGACGGCCUUAUGGGUUGUAAACUGCUUUUAUCAGGGAAGAAAAAGGUCAUGCGUGACAAAUUGCCGGUACCUGAUGAAUAAGCACCGGCUAACUCCGUGCCAGCAGCCGCGGUAAUACGUGAGGGUGCAAGCGUUGUCCGGAUUUAUUGGGUUCAAAGCGGUGCGUACGCGGGAGAUUACGUCAGUGGUGAAAGUCUUGGGCUCAACCCAGNGAAUUGCCAUUGAUACUGAUUUUCUUUGAGUGUCAUCGGGGUACACUGGAAAUUUAUGGUGUACGGUUAACAUUNCUUCCAUUCCCAUUAGGGAACNCCGA
rnacentral:rRNA from 1 species